ACUUCAAGAUGGCCGAGUCCAUCCAAAACUGGCGCUAGAAAUGGUUCUAUAUCAAGGACGAGAAUGCCGAGGAGCAGAAGUUUGGCUCAGCUCCCUUCGACCCGACGAAGCCAGUGAAGAAACUUAAGUCAUGGGACCAACCCCUGACAGAAGCUGAACUCGAAGAGACCGAGCCGCUGAUGGCUCAGAUUCACGCCCUGCAGACCGACGAUGGAAAAGAACUUUCGGGUCAACAAAUCAUGACACACUUCCUCCGGCUGGGGGUCCAGCCCAUCCAGGAGAGAGUUCACAGCAUGUGGAGUUACAUGGGAUCCAAGGACCCGACAAAAUUUCCAAGGAAGACCUAUCCACUGUUGAACUCUAGAAAAUAGCUCGACAGUUCACCAUGGCCACUGCUGCAGACGCCAUCCCUUCUUCUUGUCGAGUUACUCCAUUCGACAAGAAACAUCCGCCACCAGCUGGCCAUGUUUUCCUUUCUUCCCUUCCACCUCUUCCUGAGGCGGGGGAUGUACCCGAGGUUGCCGCGGACGCUGAGAGCGAAAUACCCGAAGCUGUCGCAGGUCAAGAUGGUGCUGAAUCUGAUGAGGAUGAGGCAUCCGAUUCACCUCGCACGGUAACAUCGAUUCCCCCUGCCAAUUCCCAGGAUGAAAAGACCAAGGGGAAAAGGAAGCGAACCGAUGAUGGGGACUCCGAAUCUUCAAACGCAUCCAAGCAACAGAUUACGCUUCAUAAUACUAUCCACAUGGACGAAGAGGAAGCUCCCGAGGACCCUGCUGAUGACCCGGCCAAAAAUCUGUCAGCUUCUAUCAAGAUUCCAUCCAAGACGCUGUGUUCACAGGAAGAAACCGUGAACUCAGAUGAAUUGGAAAGAGCCAAGGAUAGCCCCUGGGCGCCGCCCAAGGAGAAACUCAAAGAACACGAUGCUAACAAGGGCAUCAAGAUUUCCGAGAACCCGCCUAUGCCAUCGAUGGACGACCCGAUAGCCCGUGAGAUGAUGGACAUGGCCAUCAAACAUAUCAGGUUCCGGAACGAAGCCGAGAGUCUCAAGGUUUCCUUGAAGAAAUCUCAACACCGCGCUGACGAGCUUGAAGCCAAGCUUGAGGCCGCUAAAAAGGCACUCGAGGAGGCUCGUGCCAAGGCCACAACUGCAGAAGAGAAGCUAGCAGAAGAGAAGUCGAAGAUGGCUACCCACAAAGCGGAUAUUCGCCUGCGACUAGACACUCUAAAUGCCUCCUUCACUACAGAUAAAAUUGGGCACUCCUACGAGAUGCCCAAGAAUCAGAAAACAGAUCCUGCUGCUGGACUCUCUAACUGUGUUGGAGGCGAACAGUGUGCGGGUUCGCAACAUGCUAGUCCAUGCACACCGAGAUUUCAAGCGGCUUUUCAGGCAUUUCUUCCGUAGACAGAAGGAACCCGAAGAUCUCCUUGCCCUCGCCGACAUCUUCAAUGCCGUAGAGGAUCCGGCACUCAACUACCGCCGAGCAGCCAGGAAGACUGGUGUGGAGAUCUCGAUGCCAAUGGCGAUGGCACACGGCGAAGUUGUCGACUGGGACAAGGUUAGCUCCUCCCACGCAGUAUAUAAAGCUGGCCAGCUGACAUCGUUGGUGCCUUUCUUGAAGAAUGCUAAGAGAUUCUCCAAGAAGAUGAUUUCCUUGGUGCACCCGACGAGCACCCGGUCUGUUAGUGCUACCCCCACUGAGAUUGGGUUAACCCAGAACCUGCAUCUGGUCCUUCAUGGCAAGAAUCAAUGCCAGAGGAACCCAUUAUUUUCCGAGGCUACUGAUCCAACAAACCAAUCGAGUGACCCAUUUCCUGAUACGGAAGGAGCCCAUUACUUUGAAGAACCACAAAGCGAAAUUAAGGUUUUGAAGGACCAAAUUCUAGUUGCUCUAUCGAAAGUAAAAUGAGCCACCGAACGUGAAGAUUACUUGCUGGAACUGAUCUCGAUGGUGAGCGGUAACAUGCUUUGUGCUCAACUGAAUUCCAUUACUGAAGAAGAGCGAGUCAAAGCUCGUAUGAAUGCUCUCAUGGAAAUCUCCGCCGGGACAGGCAUCGACUUCUGGGCUGAUCGUCGGCGGUGCUUUACUAUAAUUCAGCUCCAAGAUCGAGUAUCUCAAGUCAACGAAUUCGUCGAGCACUGCCGAUCUGCUCUGGCGAUGGUUUACAGCACCAUGUUCCCUCAGAAUCCUGCACCCCAAGAUUUUGCUGAGUUGAUGGGAAAGUUCAGGCGUGCCGCAGAUAUUCAUAACUUUGUGAGAAUUCAACUAGUUGAUGGAGCUAAGCUUGCUCUUGCUUGGGUGCGCGUUCAUAAGCCAACGCUUGACAUUGAUGCAAUUUCCCGCGGUUUUCCUGCUCGACGAAGUAACAAGGGGGUACGCAUGACUCACCAUUAUGACGCUGCUCACGAACCAGCGAUCGGGAUGAUCCAGCGACUUCUGGAUGCGGACUCGGAAUUCUUUACAGAAUUCCAUUACGCAGAUCCUGUAUAGAACCCUGUAGGAGAAUAUGUAACAUAUGUAAAGUAUAUGAAAUUCAAUAUGUUGUAUCGUAAAAUUUAUUGCAAGAUCUUUGCUUGAGAACUCAAAUAUAUAUUUAUUUUUCAUGA